GGGCCAUCCUGCAUGCCUCAGACACCAUGCUCCCUUCCUGCACGAAGCUGCUUCCCGAGACCCCCUCCCUUCCACCAAUCCAGCCUUGGUUGGUUCCUGUGCAUUUAUAUUUCACCAGUACCUCUCCAUAUUCCCUCCCCACACCUAGGCUUUUCCUCCUUUGGCCUGAUUCCUCUUCGCCCUCUGACUGUUUCCCUCCUACAGCCCUCAGUGCCCAGUGAUGUGGAGCCCCAGGAUCUGGCACCCCUGGUUGAGCCCCACUCUGGACGCCUGUCCCUUCCACCCAACGUGUGCCCAGUGCUCAGGGAGUUCCGUGUUGAGGUGCUGUUCUGGGGUCUUAGGGGACUUGGUCGUGUGCAUCUGUUCGAGGUGGAGCAGCCCCAGGUUGUACUGGAGGUGGCUGGGCAACGUGUGGAGUCUGAGGUCCUGGCCAGCUACCGUGAGAGACCCAAUUUCACUGAGCUUGUCAGGCAUCUGACAGUGGACUUGCCGGAGCAGCCUUACUUGCAGCCUCCACUCAGCAUCUUGGUGAUUGAGCGCCGGGCCUUUGGCCGCACAGUCCUUGUGGGUUCCCACAUUGUCCCCCACAUGCUGCGAUUCACAUUUCGGGGUCAUGAGGAUCCUCCUGAGGAGGAAGGAGAGAUGGAGGAGACAGGGGAUAUGAUGCCCAAGGGACCUCAAGGACAGAAGUCCCUGGAUCCCUUCUUGGCUGAAGCGGGUAUAUCCAGACAGCUCCUGAAGCCUCCUCUGAAGAAGCUCCCACUAGGAGGCCUCCUAAAUCAAGGCCCUGGGCUGGAGGAGGACAUCCCAGAUCCAGAAGAGCUCGACUGGUGGUCCAAGUACUAUGCGUCGCUGCAGGAGCUCCAGGGGCAGCACAACUUGGAUGAAGAUGAAAUGGAUGAUCCUGGAGAUUCAGAUGGGGUCAACCUCAUUUCUAUGGUUGGGGAGAUCCAAGACCAGGAUCUACAACAGGUCCCUGGAGGAAGAAUUUAACCACUUUGAAGACUGGCUGAAUGUGUUUCCUCUGUCCCGAGGGCAAGGGGGCCAGGAUGGAGGUGGAGAAGAGGAAGGAUCUGGACACCUUGUGGGCAAGUUCAAGGGCUCCUUCCUCAUUUACCCUGAAUCAGAGGCAGUGUCGUUCUCUGAGCCCCAGAUCUCCCGGGGGAUCCCACAGAACCGGCCCAUCAAGCUCCUGGUCAGAGUGUAUAUUGUAAAGGCUACCAACCUGGCUCCUGCAGACCCCAAUGGCAAAGCAGACCCUUACGUGGUGGUGAGCGCUGGCCGGGAGCGGCAGGACACCAAGGAACGCUACAUCCCCAAGCAGCUCAACCCCAUCUUUGGAGAGAUCCUGGAGCUAAGCAUCUCUCUCCCAGCUGAGACGGAGCUGACGGUCGCCGUAUUUGAUCAUGACCUCGUGGGUUCUGACGACCUCAUCGGGGAGACCCACAUUGAUCUGGAAAACCGAUUCUAUAGCCACCACAGAGCAAACUGUGGGCUGGCCUCCCAGUAUGAAGUGUGGGUCCAGCAGGGCCCACAGGAGCCAUUCUAAGUUUCUGGCCAAACACAUUCAAGCUCACAUUCCCUUUUGUGUCUCCAGAUCCUAUGAUUUCAUGGAAGGGGACCCUCCCACCCACCGCCACUGCCAACCAAGACAUAGCUCAGUGGUCAAGACUUGGGCUUGGGAGUCGGGAUCCUGUAACGAAUGUCACUUGACCGCUUUCUUUUUUUUUUUUUUUUUUGAAACAGUCUCGCUCUGUCUCCCAGGUUGGAGUGCAGUGGCACGAUCUCGGCUGACUGCAACCUCCACCUCCUGGGUUCAAGCGAUUCUCCUGCCUCAGCCUCCCCAGUAGCUGGGAUUACAUGCAUGGGCCACCAUGUCCAGCUAAUUUUUAUAUUUUUAGUAGAGACAGGGUUUCACCAUGUUGUCCAGGCUGGUCUUGAACCCCUGACCUCAAGUGAUCCACCCACCUCUGCCUCCCAAAGUGCUGGGAUUACAGGUGUGAGCCACCAUGCCAGUCCCACUUAACCUCUUCAAGUCUGUUUUCUCAUCUGCAAAACAGAGGUAAUAAGAUCAGUAUCUUCUUAAUGGAAGCACCUGGACUACAUUUUUUUCAUUCAUUGUUAUCAUAAAUGAGGACUAACCUGUCUCCCGUUGGGAGUUUUGAACCUAGACCUCAUGUCUUCAUGACGUCAUCACUGCCCCAGGCCCAACUGUGUCCCUACACCAGCCCCAGCUGAUGCAUCUUCCUUUUCUGCCUGUAGAGAUGGUUACAAUGCCUGGCGUGAUGCAUUCCGGCCUUCGCAGAUCCUGGCGGGGCUGUGCCAACGCUGUGGCCUCCCUGCCCCUGAAUACCGAGCCGGUGCUGUCAAGGUGGGCAGCAAAGUCUUCCUGACACCACCGGAGACCCUGCCCCCAGGGAUCUCUUCACAUGUGGAUUGACAUCUUUCCUCAAGAUGUGCCUGCUCCACCCCCAGUUGACAUCAAGCCUCGGCAGCCAAUCAGCUAUGAGCUCAGAGUUGUCAUCUGGAACACGGAGGAUGUGGUUCUGGAUGAUGAGAAUCCACUCACCGGAGAGAUGUCGAGUGACAUCUAUGUGAAGAGGUAGGCUGCCGGCCAGGCGGGGCAACGGCGGUGCACUAGGGGGAUUGCAAAUGGGUGUGGGCCCUCGGGCUGAGUCCAGAGCCCCGACCCCAGGCCCUCCGUGGUGCUGAGAGCGGGGUGAGGAGUGGGUUCUCCAUGUAGCUCCAGCCCUGACGCUCACCUACCCCGGCCCCAGCUGGGUGAAGGGGUUGGAGCAUGACAAGCAGGAGACAGACGUUCACUUCAACUCCCUGACUGGGGAGGGGAACUUCAACUGGCGCUUUGUGUUCCGCUUUGACUACCUGCCCACGGAGCGGGAGGUGAGCGUCCGGCGCAGGUCUGGACCCUUUGCCCUGGAGGAGGCUGAGUUCCGGCAGCCUGCAGUGCUGGUCCUGCAGGUCUGGGACUAUGACCGCAUCUCUGCCAAUGACUUCCUUGGAUCCCUGGAGUUGCAGCUACCAGACAUGGUGCGUGGGGCCCGGGGCCCCGAGCUCUGCUCUGUGCGGCUGGCCCGCGAUGGGGCCGGGUCGAGGUGCAAUCUGUUUCGCUGCCGCCGCCUGAGGGGCUGGUGGCCGGUAGUGAAGCUGAAGGAGGCAGAGGACGUGGAGCGGGAGGCGCAGGAGGCUCAGGCUGGCAAGAAGAAGCGAAAGCAGAGGAGGAGGAAGGGCCGGCCAGAAGACCUGGAGUUCACAGACACGGGUGGCAAUGUGUACAUCCUCACGGGCAAGGUGGAGGCAGAGUUUGAGCUGCUGACUGUGGAGGAGGCCGAGAAACGGCCAGUGGGGAAGGGGCGGAAGCAGCCAGAGCCUCUGGAGAAACCCAGCCGCCCGAAAACUUCCUUCAACUGGUUUGUGAACCCGCUGAAGACCUUUGUCUUCUUCAUCUGGCGCCGGUACUGGCGCAUCCUGGUGCUGCUGCUGCUACUGGUGCUGCUCACCGUCUUCCUCCUCCUGGUCUUCUACACCAUCCCUGGCCAGAUCAGCCAGGUCAUCUUCCGUCCCCUCCACAAGUGACUCUCGCUGACCUUGGACACUCACCCAGGGUGCCAACCCUUCAAUGCCUGCUCCUGGAAGUCUUUCUUACCAAUGUGAGCUACCCCAGAGUCUAGUGCUUCCUCUGAAUAAACCUAUCACAGCC
rnacentral:sRNA from 1 species